rnacentral:lncRNA from 1 species
CUGGUUUUGGAAGUGAGUUGGAGUCUUUGCGAGGUCCUAAAGGACCACCUGGGCCUCCAGGUCCUCCUGGUGUACCUGGUUUACCGGGACAACCUGGAAGAUUUGGGACAAAUGGCACUGACUUUCCAGGCCUCCCAGGCCUUCCUGGAGUUCCAGGGAGAAAUGGCAACUCAGGAAUCCCAGGACCUCCGGGGCCACUUGGGCCUCCAGGAAAAGAUGGCAUCCCUGGUCAACCUGGAGAAAAAGGAGCACCGGGAGAACCAGGUGAAAUGGGCUUCCCUGGACAAAAGGGCAGCCAAGGAGUGCCAGGAUUGCCAGGCUCACCAGGUGAACCUGGUCUCGCAGGACUUCCUGGGCCAAUGGGACCCCGCGGAUUUCCUGGUCCCCCUGGGCCAGGCAUUGCAGCAGAAUUUGUGAGUACCAAACAUUAGAGUGUGGU